GGGACAUGUGCACGCCUUGNUCAUCUCCAUUCACACCUGUGCACUCUUUGUAGGUUGGUUUUGGACUUGACCUUACGGUCUCGUUUAAGCUUGCCUAUGAUUUUAUACAUACACUCAGUUUAUAGAAUGUCAUUGCGUUAAACGCAUUAUAUACAACUUUCAGCAACGGAUCUCUUGGCUCUCGCAUCGAUGAAGAACGCAGCGAAAUGCGAUAAGUAAUGUGAAUUGCAGAAUUCAGUGAAUCAUCGAAUCUUUGAACGCACCUUGCGCUCCUUGGUAUUCCGAGGAGCAUGCCUGUUUGAGUGUCAUGGAAUUCUCAACCCAUCAGUCUUGUUAUGAGGCUUUGAUGGGCUUGGAUUUGGAGGUUUAUGCUGCAUUUUUAUUAGUGCGGCUCCUCUUGAAUGUAUUAGUAGAACCUGCCGAGCAGUUCUCAGUGUGAUAAUUGUCUACGCUGUGAUUGCGAAAGCAUUAUGGGAUCUGCUUCUAACUGUCUACUUGUUUAGACAAUUUAUUUAACAUCUGACCUCAAAUCA
rnacentral:sRNA from 1 species